rnacentral:rRNA from 1 species
UGGGGAAUAUUGCGCAAUGGGGGAAACCCUGACGCAGCAACGCCGCGUGCAGGAAGAAGGUCUUCGGAUUGUAAACUGUUGUCGCAGGGGAAGAAGACAGUGACGGUACCCUGUGAGAAAGUCACGGCUAACUACGUGCCAGCAGCCGCGGUAAUACGUAGGUGACAAGCGUUGUCCGGAUUUACUGGGUGUAAAGGGCGCGUAGGCGGACUGUCAAGUCAGUCGUGAAAUACCGGGGCUUAACCCCGGGGCUGCGAUUGAAACUGACAGCCUUGAGUAUCGGAGAGGAAAGCGGAAUUCCUAGUGUAGCGGUGAAAUGCGUAGAUAUUAGGAGGAACACCAGUGGCGAAGGCGGCUUUCUGGACGACAACUGACGCUGAGGCGCGAAAGUGUGGGGAGCAAACAGGAUUAGAUACC